GGCUUUAGCUUAAUAAAAGUGUUUGAAUUGCAUUCAUGAGAUGUAUAUGAAGUUAUACAAGUCUU
rnacentral:tRNA from 1 species